ACUAGGGUGAGAAUAUGAACUUUCGUGUAUCCAAUAAGUUCGAGUUAUCGACGCAUUCGUCCGUAUUCAUUGUUUUUUUUUUUUAUUAUUCCUAGCCUCGUGGUAAAACCUAUACCUCGUGGUCAGUUAUUUUUUUUAUGAUUUUUCGGUUUUUAGUUGAUCGCCGUGCGUACGUACGAUAUCAAAAAUAAUUACAUCAGAUUUUUUGAAAAAUACGUACGGAAAAUGGUACACCAUUUUUUGCAUCAAAGUAAAAAAAAAAAAAAAAAAGUUGCUACGAGUAAAAAUCGGAACAAGUUAGCUAGGAAAAAACGUGUCC